rnacentral:rRNA from 1 species
GUCUACGGCCAUACCACCCUGAACGCGCCCGAUCCCGUCUGAUAUCGGAAGCUAAGCAGGGUCGGGUCUGGUUAGUACUUGGAUGGGAGAACGCCUGGGAAUACCGGGUGCUGUAGGCU